rnacentral:lncRNA from 1 species
GUAAUGUACAUCAGGGCCAGCCUUCAUCCCACCCGGAGGAUUUUUACCUUCUGCUGGCUGUAGGUUCCCUUGUGGCUGCAUGCCCUAUAGAAUUUGAGACUAAGAGGAACUAUGCAUUCCCAGGAGGGAGAUGCCAACGUCACCUAAUUACAGCACUCAUACAUGAUGUCUGCGUUCACUAGGAGCCAACUCCUUAACAAUCCAAGUCAAUCCCGACUUUUCCCCUUCGCCUGCUGUCCCGCGUUCUCUCAGUCUCUCAGAAACAUGAUGGAACUCAAAAGUUGUGGUGUAUCAUGGAUGGCAAAUUCUUUCCAGGGAAAGCAUGAAUCUAACAAGGCUGAAGCCCAGUCAGAAGGACCUGGAGUGGGUAGAGGAAAUGUCUUCCUUCCCUACAUCUGAGAAUUCAAUUGAGUUCUGACAUAAUCUACCUGGAGAUGGAAGGAGAUUCCACAGACUUUUUGAACUCUUCAGGUGAAACUGAACUCUGCUUUUGGUGACAAUGUGACUUCAUAGAUGGGGAUGAUUACUCUCUCUAGUAGAUGGAACCUGAGGGUUCAGUGAUCAGAAGAAAUCAGCGAACGCAAAAGAAAAUUACCUACUGGGUCAAUGAAAGCUAACUUCUGUCCUCAAAGGAGAGGUGAUGUUCAUGCAUUUUCUCCCUUUCUAAUUAUGAAAUAAUCUUUAAGGAGC